UGGAGGUGACGAAAUUGAUCGGAGGAGUUGUAUCAGCUGAGCCAUUGCUGCAUCAUAGUGGAGGAUGUUGAAGGAUUGGCAGACCGGAGAGAGAGGAUCCUGUCUUUGAUUUGCCUAUCAAUCCGACGGGUUAGAGAUUGAGAGGAGGUGAAGAUCUUCAUGUGGAGUCUUGUGUUCCGUUCUGUCCAUGACCAGUACAAACAUGCUUGCCAACAGAUAAGCGAUAGCAUACCUAGCGGAGAUCGAGGACUGAGACCUUGAAGCUGUUCCAAAACUCUGCUCCAUAUUCGUUCCGGCUGUAAGCCACAUUUCCUUAUCAGUACACUCCAUAUUCCCCAGGUGAAGGCACAAUCAAAGAAGAGAUGGUUUCGACUUUCAGGUUCCAAGUUACAAAGCAAACACAGUGGUGAUGUCGUGAUCAGGCCCCAACCAAUUAAUCUGUCUCGGGUGGGACAUCUAUUCAACACAAACAACUAAGCUAAGAAGCUCUACCUUGGCACCCCACCCUUAUUCCAUACUAUCUGAUGCCACAGAACAGGAGACUGAUCAUUGUGAGCACUGCAUGAAUCUGUACUUGAGCCUCAGAUCGCGCUGGAGGAAGCUGCCAAGCACCAUUAGUUUGAAGGGAAGCGAGAGUCGCUACGUCCGGAAUCCCAAGUGAUGAUGAUUCGCCAAGUUGAAGAAACUGUCUUAUGCUGCCUAGCGAGGACCAAUUAUCCAUCCAAAACCGACAGUUUGUUUAUUUGCCAAGAGAACCUUCUGUUGGGUGGGGUGGUCCACAAGUUGCUGAGGCUACCUUGCAAUACUUCCUCAAUGAACCAAGCAACCCAAAUCGAACCCGAUUGGAAAAAGAGGAGCCAGAUUAGCUUAAGACAACAAGCCUUGUUCCAUAGAGAUAAGUCUUUGAUUCCCAGUCCACCUUCUUUCUUUGAUUUCGUUACUGCUUCCCAUGAGACCCUAGCAGUAUUGUGACUCUCGAUAUCACCUUUCCAGAGGAAAACACUACAUAAAGAGUUUAUUUUUUUCACGCAGGCUUUCGAGAGGAUGAAGGUAGAGCACCAGAAAGUGUUAAUCCCAGCUAUAACCAUCUUGAUCAGCAACAACCUUCCCGCAAACGACAAAGAUUUGGAGCUCCAAGAUGAGAAUUUUCCUUUGAUUUGCUGAAGCAAGACUUCACAGUUGAGCAGUGUGAGCUUCUUUGUUACUAAUGGAACUCCCAAAUAGCGAACUGGAAGGGAUCCCAUCAGCAUUCCCGUCGAGAACUGGAUUAAGUCAGAUUCAGCGUGAGAGAAACCUGAGGCAAAGAAAGAAGUCUUAUGCACACUCAUAGCCAGACCAGCGCACAUCUCGAACUCUCUAAUGACCUGAAGCACAGCUUGGACAGAUUCAAGACUUCCAUCUAUGAAGAUUAGCAAGUCAUUUGCAAAACAUAAGUGGGUCAUUUUAGUUGAUGAGCAUUUGAGAUGAUAAUUAAAUUUCCUCUCAUGUGCAGCUUCCUUGAGCAUUAAUGAUAAGUUGUUCAGCGCUAUGACAAAGAGAUAGGGCGACAACGGGUCUCCUUGGUGUAGGCCACGAGUUCCUUUGAAGAAACCAUUGAUCACACCGUUGUAUCCAACCGUAAAGCUUGUUGUGCACACACACACUCUGAUCCAGGAGAUGAAUUGUUGAGGAAGGUCCAUAGCAUCAAGGCAAGAGAAUAAGAAGGACCAAGACAAGGUAUCAAAAGCUUUCGCUAUAUCAACUUUUAUAGUUAUACGCUUGUGGCAUGUUUGCUUAUGAUACCCGUUUAUUAACUCUCCCGCUAAGGAAGUGUUUUCAACUAGAAGUCGUCCUCUAACAAAUGCAGUCUGGCUCGGUACAAUAAGAUGGGACAGGAUUGGCUUUAGUCUUCUCACAAGCAACCGCGACACCACCUUGUAUAGCGUAUUGAGACAAGCGAUCGGGCGAAAGUCAGUGAUUUGUGAGGCGCCAGGAUGUUUAGGAACCAAAGUGAGGAUAGUGGAGUUGGUAGUAGACGGCAUGAAGGAGGUGUAGAAGAAGUGACGGAUGGAAGUGACAACUUCAGUGCCUAAGAUGCUCCACGCAGACUUGUAGAAACCUGAAGUUAAUCCAUCUGGGCCCGAAGCCUUGUUUGGGUUAAGCUUGAGCAGAACAGAGGCGAUCUCCUCCAGAGUAGGAAUUGAAGUCAUCAACUGCCCUUGAUCCUGAGAGCAACGGAAUGGAGUUAGCCCCUGGAACCAUUGAACCGAAGACUGAGCAACUUGCGGUGCAGGGACAGGACCUAAGAUAUUAGUGAAGUGACAGACAGCAUGAGAACUCAUGUCCAAAGGAUCAUUCAGAACGACACCAGAGGCUAGAAUGAAAGAUCUAAUCAUGUUGUAGCUGAGGCGAGUCUGAACAAUCCGAUAGAAGAAGUUCCAUCUUUCUAGGGCCUGCUUUUCAAGUUCAAAAAGCUGCGUAGUUGGAGUUUGCAUCACUUGUACCUGCACAUCUUGUAGCAAACACAUAGGGCAGUGAGGUUCCAUGCAAUGCUUCCGGCUUGUGUCCAUGCUUCGUAGACCACUUGGAGAAAGUCGGGGUGUUUGGAAAGAUAGUUAUAGAAUUUGAAAGGGCGGGUUCCAUGGGUUGGGAUUUUGUAGGCCAGAUCGAGGAUACAAGGACAGUGAUCAGAGGUUAGGGCUGGCAGAAAGAAAGCAGUACAGUUGGGGAAUAGGUUUAGGAUUUGACUAUUGAUGAGGAGGCGAUCAAGUUUUUUAGCCAAGGGAGACUCAGGUUGCUUAUUGGUCCAGGUGAAAAGAGGACCUUGAAAACGAAGAUCAUACAGUCCCAUUUGGUGAAGACAAUCCUUGAACUCAACCAUACUACUAGUGAGGUAGUUGACAUCAUCAUGGGAGUUUUCAGAGUAAUGAGCAAUCUGAUUAAAGUCUCCACUCAUGAUCCAUGGCACCGUGUCAAGUGAUAGGGAUUGGCAUGUGUUAAGAAGUUCCACCCAUAAAUCCGUACGCUCAGCUCUCUCAUUUGAAGCAUAGACGGCAGUAUAAACAAAAGGGAAAGAUCCAGGCAGCUUGACCUCGCAUGUUACAGCUUGCCUCGAUUGAUGCAGAAUGCGUACGGAGACAGUUUCCUUCCAGAUAACAAUUAUGCGACCUUCAACGUCCAUAGAGUGAUUAGAGGCAUAGUUCCAGCCUCUACAAAGUUUGGUCAUUAAAGGGCUCAGGUUAUGAUUCUUGAUAUGUGAUUCCAAAAUGAUGUCAAAAGAAGGUUGUUGGCUCGCUAGCCAUUGACAAAAAGGGUGUGCUUGUCCGGAUCAUUCAAUACGCGGACAUUCCAAAAAAAUAU